rnacentral:rRNA from 1 species
AUACAGCGAAACUGCGAAUGGCUCAUUAUAUAAGUUCCUCUUUUAUUUGAUAGUGCCUUACUACUUGGAUAACCGUGGUAAUUCUAGAGCUAAUACAUGCUAAAAACCCCGACUUCGGAAGGGGUGUAUUUAUUAGAUACAAAACCAAUGCCCUUCGGGGCUCUUUGGUGAUUCAUGAUAACUAUACGAAUCGCACGGCCUUGCGCCGGCGAUGGUUCAUUCAAAUUUCUUCCCUAUCAACUUUCGAUGUUUGGGUAUUGGCCAAACAUGGUUGCAACGGGUAACGGAGGGUUAGGGCUCGACCCCGGAGAAGGAGCCUGAGAAACGGCUACUACAUCCAAGGAAGGCAGCAGGCGCGCAAAUUACCCAAUCCCGACUCGGGGAGGUAGUGACAAUAAAUACUGAUACAGGGCCCUUUCGGGCCUUGUAAUUGGAAUGAGUACAAUUUAAACCCCUUAACGAGGAACAAUUGGAGGGCAAGUCUGGUGCCAGCAGCCGCGGUAAUUCCAGCUCCAAUAGCGUAUAU